rnacentral:rRNA from 1 species
AGUGAACGCUGGCGGUAGGCCUAACACAUGCAAGUCGAACGGCAGCACAGUAAGAGCUUGCUCUUACGGGUGGCGAGUGGCGGACGGGUGAGGAAUACAUCGGAAUCUACUUUUUCGUGGGGGCUAACGUAGGGAAACUUACGCUAAUACCGCAUACGACCUACGGGUGAAAGCAGGGGAUCUUCGGACCUUGCGCGAUUGAAUGAGCCGAUGUCGGAUUAGCUAGUUGGCGGGGUAAAGGCCCACCAAGGCGACGAUCCGUAGCUGGUCUGAGAGGAUGAUCAGCCACACUGGAACUGAGACACGGUCCAGACUCCUACGGGAGGCAGCAGUGGGGAAUAUUGGACAAUGGGCGCAAGCCUGAUCCAGCCAUACCGCGUGGGUGAAGAAGGCCUUCAGGUUGUAAAGCCCUUUUGUUGGGAAAGAAAAGCAGCAGGUUAAUACCCCGCUGUUCUGACGGUACCCAAAGAAUAAGCACCGGCUAACUUCGUG